UUCCGGUUGAUCCCGCCGGACCCGACUGCUAUCGGAAUGGGACUAAGCCAUGCGAGUCGUAUGUCCCUGGACUGCCAGGGGCAUGGCGAACGGCUCAGUAACACGUGGCCAACCUACCCUCAAGAUGCGGAUAACCCCGGGAAACUGGGACUAAUCCGCAAUAGGUCCAGAUUUCUGGAAUUGAAUCUGGACCGAAAGGGUAAUAUGAGCAUGUUUCAUGUUACCGCUUGAGGAUGGGGCUACGGCCGAUCAGGCUGUUGGUGGGGUAACGGCCCACCAAACCUUUGACCGGUACGGGCUUUGAGAGAAGGAGCCCGGAGAUGGACACUGAGAUAAGGGUCCAGGCCCUAUGGGGCGCAGCAGGCGCGAAACCUCCACAAUGGGCGAAAGCCUGAUGGGGUCAUUCCGAGUGCCAUCCGCUAAGGAUGGCUUUUCCCAAGUCUAAACCGCUUGGGGAAUAAGGGGAGGGCAAGUCUGGUGUCAGCCGCCGCGGUAAUACCAGCUCCCCGAGUGGUCGGGACGAUUAUUUGGCCUAAAGCAUCCGUAGCCGGCCCUGUCCGUCUUCCGUUAAAUCUAACGGCCCAACCGUUAGGCUGCGGAAGAUACCACAGGGCUAGGGGGCGGGAGAGGUGGACGGUACUCCAAGGGUAGGGGUAAAAUCCUCUGAUCCUUGGAAGACCACCGGUGGCGAAGGCGGUCCACCAGAACGCGCCCGACGGUGAGGGAUGAAAGCUGGGGGAGCGAACCGGAUUAGAUACCCGGGUAGUCCCAGCCGUAAACGAUGCGAGCUAGGUGACAGAAUGGCCUAAGCGCCAUUCUGCUGCCGCAGGGAAGCCGUUAAGCUCGCCGCCUGGGGAGUACGGACGCAAGUCUGAAACUUAAAGGAAUUGGCGGG
rnacentral:rRNA from 1 species